GUCGUCAGAGGGAGGGUUAGACCUUGGGAUCGGGGGUUUUAAAGGGGAGGAGGAGAAGGCGAAGAGGAGACAAGGAGCACGUGCUCGACGGCAGUUGCGCAGUAGCGGCGGCAGCGCCGGUGACAGUAGUGGAUGCGUGCCUUCCUGCAGGUCCUCCAGGUCACCCCGGCAGAAGCAGGCAGGGCUCGUAGUUGAGCUCGCCCCGGCGGGGCAUGCGAGCGGUAGCUCGGGCAGGGGUGGCGCAUGUAGCGGCCGCAGGCGGCCGCAGCGGAGCUGAGGUGAGGCGGAGGCCGGAGGGGCUGGAGCGGAUACACGAGCGAUACCACCUCGGGUCCUCGGUCUACUACGGUGGGGGCGUCUGAUGAUGAUGAUGGGUCUCCCACGGAAGAUGAUACACCUCGGGCGGCUGCUGGUCCUCAUCAAUCCUCCAGGGUCCGUCCUCCGGAACGGAGAAGCUAGCAACAACGAAAACACGAUCUGAAGAAUUCCGUAGGAACAAAUUGAAUACAGACAUGAGUCUAUAACAACGAAGGCGACUGAGAACACAUAGCUCGAUACAUAAGCUCGGGAGCUCCGGGGACCGAACAUUAUAUUUC
rnacentral:rRNA from 1 species